GCAAAAGAAGAAGAAGACAAGCACAAUGUUGCUUAAUACUUAAAUAAAACCUAAUUUUUCACAAAAUAAACGGAAAAAGGAAGGAGGCGAAGUCAAAAAGAGCAACAACGUGACCCCGUUUUUCUCCAAGAAAGUGAACUGCACUGUGAUCAUCCGUCGUUGGUCGAAACAGAGGAGCUAAGGAUGUAAUGGGAGCCCAGGAAGUGAAAGUGAAGCCAACACUUCCAAAUCGGUGAUGACUCUUUGUCCUGUCGCACAUACAAGACAAGUCAAAGGGUGGAAACGCGUGCCAUGAAAGGAAGGGGAGGAGGUUGGGGAGAAGGAAUAGCAGACCGCAUCAUCAGCACUUUCUUGGACAGGAUAAAAGAUGGAGGAGAGCGCUGGAAGCCAACAUUUUGUGUCCCUUCUCUGCUGUGGGAGGCAGAACCGCCAAUGAAGUGCUUGCUUGGUGUGCGGUUGGGAAUUCUGCCGAGGAACAACUUGUGUCUUUACCAGGCAAAUGAAUGCUGGCAAUUUUACAUAAUGAUGUCAUUAGAUGAGACAUUAAGCAGACAUAAUUCAAAGCACGUCAGAUUACAUAGUCACAGAUUUCUUAGCUCUGCUUUGAAUUGAAAAUCAUUUUCAUGGCAACCUAAAUAGAAAGUUGUAAUGUAACUCCACUCCACAAAUUUAGUUCAGUUCAGUUUCAGUUUAUUUCAAACAUGCAUACAAUACAAUGUAAUUCAUCACAUAUUUGUACGUACGUUGAAGACUACAUUCGUACAAUUCACAUCUGUACUGUGGUGCUUUCUUUGGGGGCCACAUCGCCGUUCUGUUUGAACUCAGACGGCCGCUUCACACAGUGAAUGAUAUUAUUGCACAGGUUGCUAUGCACUUGUUUUUACGUACAAUUAAAAAGAAACUGGGAGCACAGUUGCAAAAAUGUUACUGUAAAACCUACAGUGGUUUUUACAGCAUAUUACUGUAAAUGGAAAAACAGUGCCGCUGUUUUGUCUUGGUAAAAAACGGGCACCUAAUUUCCCAGGAUUUUACU